rnacentral:rRNA from 1 species
GAUGAACGCUAGCUACAGGCUUAACACAUGCCAGUCGAGGGACCGGCGCACGGGUGAGUCACACGUAUCCAACCUGCCUUUUACUCGGGGAUAGCCUUUCGAAAGCUAGAUUAAUACCCGAUCUAAAGGAUGGGGAUGCGUACCAUUAGGGUGGUGGUGAGUAAACGGCUCACUAAGCCUUCGAUGGAUAGGGGUUCUGAGAGGAAGGUCCCCCACAUUGGAACUGGGACACGGUCCAAACUGGUACGGGAGGCAGCAGUGAGUAAUAAUGGUCAAAGGGCGCUAGCCUGAACCAGCCAAGUAGAGUGAAGGAUGAAGGCUUAGGGGUCGUAAACUUCUUGGAUAUAAGAAUAUGUAUUAGAUGAAUAAGGAUCGGCUAACUCCGUGCCAGCAGCCGCGGUAAUAC